GGAGUCUGGGCCGUAUCUCAGUCCCAAUGUGGCCGUUCAACCUCUCAGUCCGGCUACUGAUCGUCGCCUUGGUGGGCCGUUACCCCUCCAACUAGCUAAUCAGACGCGAGGCCAUCUCAGAGCGAUAAAUCUUUGGCAUCCAGACCAUGCGAUCCAAAUGCAUCAUGCGGUAUUAGCAGCCGUUUCCAGCUGUUGUCCCCCUCUCCAAGGCAGGUUCCUCACGCGUUACUCACCCGUCCGCCACUUUCCCCCGCUUCCAUUGACCGAAAUCUCUUUCCACGGGUUCUCGUUCGACUUGCAUGUGUUAAGCACGCCGCCAGCGUUCGUCCUCGAGCCACGGAUCAAACUACU
rnacentral:rRNA from 1 species